GACGAACGCUGGCGGCGUGCUUAACACAUGCAAGUCGAACGGAAAGGCCCUGCUUGCAGGGUACUCGAGUGGCGAACGGGUGAGUAACACGUGGGUGAUCUGCCCUGCACUUCGGGAUAAGCCUGGGAAACUGGGUCUAAUACCGGAUAGGAGCCAUUUUUAGUGUGAUGGUUGGAAAGUUUUUUCGGUGUAGGAUGAGCUCGCGGCCUAUCAGCUUGUUGGUGGGGUAAUGGCCUACCAAGGCGGCGACGGGUAGCCGGCCUGAGAGGGUGGACGGCCACAAUGGGACCGGGAAUCGGCCCAGGCUCCUACGGGGGGCAAGAGUGGGGAAUAUUGCACAAUGGGCGCGAGCCUGAUGCAGCGACGCCGCGUGGGGGAUGACGGCCUUCGGGUUGUAAACUCGCUUCGCUAGGGACGAAGCUUUUUGUGACGGUACCUAGAUAAGAAGCACCGGCUAACUACGUG
rnacentral:rRNA from 1 species